AAACCACUAAUCCAAACGGACUUGUUUUUCAGAUUCGAAAUGCUACAAUGGUGUUUUUGAAAAACAACCCCAAAAACAGCUAAUCCAAACGGAGCCAUGGUACUAUAUAUUCACGCUUAAGAUGAAUUCGAUUUUUAAUUGCCAACCUUCUCGUGAAUACAAAAUCGUAUAACCCUAAAAACCCAACAAUUUAUAAACCUUAAAGCUUGUUUUCGUCAAUCAACCAGUUAGAUAUGAUAGGUUUUUACCUUAAUCUGAUCAAGCUACCAAGCUCAAGUCCGCUAUAUAAAGCAUAGGUUGAGGCAGCACAGCAUGCACAAUACACACGGCAUAACUUUCUCAAUAUCUAGGUCAUGGCUUCUCUUACCAUGCCAACUCUCUCCUCCAACCUUGCCUAUUCCUCCUCUAUAGCACAUUUCAUCUCACUUGCAAAACCCGCUCACCCAAAUCGCAAAACAGGCCCAAAAUUUACAUGCAAUUCCACAAAAGGUGACCAAAACUCCAGUGAUCAUGACACUGCAGGCUCCAAAAAUGGAGAAACUUCUUUACUGAAGCUUGAUAGAAGAAAUGUGCUACUUGGCAUUGGAGGAGGGCUCUAUGGUGCCCUCCAAAAAUGGUACUAUAUAUUCACGCUUAAGAUGAAUUCGAUUUUUAAUUGCCAACCUUCUCGUGAAUACAAAAUCGUAUAACCCUAAAAACCCAACAAUUUAUAAACCUUAAAGCUUGUUUUCGUCAAUCAACCAGUUAGAUAUGAUAGGUUUUUACCUUAAUCUGAUCAAGCUACCAAGCUCAAGUCCGCUAUAUAAAGCAUAGGUUGAGGCAGCACAGCAUGCACAAUACACACGGCAUAACUUUCUCAAUAUCUAGGUCAUGGCUUCUCUUACCAUGCCAACUCUCUCCUCCAACCUUGCCUAUUCCUCCUCUAUAGCACAUUUCAUCUCACUUGCAAAACCCGCUCACCCAAAUCGCAAAACAGGCCCAAAAUUUACAUGCAAUUCCACAAAAGGUGACCA
rnacentral:lncRNA from 1 species